CGCGAAACCCGAAGACUUGCAGGGUAAGAACUGAAGCCACCAAAAGGCUUACUAUACCACACAACACCCAAGCCUUCCUUUGGGGCAUGGGGACAGUGGAUCUAUGGCUCCUCAGGGUGCCAACCAAUUGAAGAAGGAAGCCAGCUCCACUCAACAGCUUCUACAAAGGAAGGGCCACAGGAGAGGGGCUUCAGUGGUUCCAGGCAGCUGCUUCAUUCACAACAGAAUGGCCAUUUUCUCCAGCAUGGCCAACUAUCCCUAGUCUUUUUGUCAUGACAGCCUAGAAGGCAGAAGCUAGGGCCAAGGCGGCUGCUAAGGAAUUCCUACUCCUACUGGGGCCUAAUGUCAGGCUUUCCUUAUAUUGUGGAGUGGGCCCUGGAAGAUAGUUAGAGACCCUUCCUGCUGGGCACCCUGAAGAGGAGCAAGAGGAUCUGGUGAGCAAAAUGAAGGAGUGUACAGUGGAGUUUUCCAGAAGGCAUAUGCCAUGUGCAUCACCACAGCUUAAAUGCAGAAACAGACAUGAGGAUCUAGCUGUGUCCUACUAAGCCAGACAUUCAGGACAUCUAAAAGUGUAAAACAA
rnacentral:lncRNA from 10 species